rnacentral:lncRNA from 1 species
CACCGGAGUGCCUAAGAGCUGUCUUCCGAUGUCGCUCUUCCUUUCCCGCGCGACCGGCGAGGGAGGAAGAAGCGCGAAGAGCCGUUAGUCAUGCCGGUGUGGUGGCGGCGGCGGAGACUGCGGGCCCGUAGCUGGGCUCUGCGAGGUGCAAGAAAGCCUUUGAGGUGAAGGUGUAUGAAAGUCAUCAUAACAGAUGUUUUCCAAAAACUUGUAGAAGGUUGUGAAAAAACUACUAGGAUCACGCGGCAUGUAUUGAGCAUAUAGGUUGCUGUAGAUGAAUGUUCUUAGCUGUCAUGUUUAAAAAUACUUCUGCUUCGUUACCUCAAGUGUGGCAUGCAGCAUUUUGGAAGGAAAAUUGAAGACGUGUUCAAGAAAACAUGAACAGAAGCAAAUGAUGAAAAUGAGCAUUUUACUUGAUGUUGAUAACAUCACAAUAA